rnacentral:rRNA from 1 species
GUUGAACGCUGGCGGCAUGCUUUACACAUGCAAGUCGAACGGCAGCGCGGGCUUCGGCCUGGCGGCGAGUGGCGAACGGGUGAGUAAUACAUCGGAACGUGCCCAGUAGUGGGGGAUAGCUCGGCGAAAGCCGGAUUAAUACCGCAUACGACCUGAGGGUGAGAGCGGGGGAUCUUCGGACCUCGCGCUAUUGGAGCGGCCGAUGGCAGAUUAGCUAGUUGGUGGGGUAAAGGCCUACCAAGGCGACGAUCUGUAGCUGGUCUGAGAGGACGACCAGCCACACUGGGACUGAGACACGGCCCAGACUCCUACGGGAGGCAGCAGUGGGGAAUUUUGGACAAUGGGCGAAAGCCUGAUCCAGCAAUGCCGCGUGUGUGAUGAAGGCCUUCGGGUUGUAAAGCACUUUUGGCGGGAACGAAAAGGACUGUGCCAAUACCACGGUUCGAUGACGGUACCCGCAGAAUAAGCACCGGCUAACUACGUG